CAGCCGCCGCGGUAAUACGUAGGUCCCGAGCGUUGUCCGGAUUUAUUGGGCGUAAAGCGCGUCUAGGCGGUUAUAUAAGUCUGAUGUGAAAAUGCAGGGCUCAACUCUGUAUUGCGUUGGAAACUGUAUAACUAGAGUACUGGAGAGGUAAGCGGAACUACAAGUGUAGAGGUGAAAUUCGUAGAUAUUUGUAGGAAUGCCGAUGGGGAAGCCAGCUUACUGGACAGAUACUGACGCUGAAGCGCGAAAGCGUGGGUAGCAAACAGGAUUAGAUACCCGCGUAGUCCCUGUCUCUUAUACA
rnacentral:rRNA from 1 species